GUACCUGUAGCAUAAUGGAUAGCGCAUUGGACUUCUAAUCCAAAGGUCGUAGGUUCGAAUCCUACCUGGAAUA